ensembl:Mt_tRNA
GAGCAAGACUUGGAAGUGUAAAGAACUGCUAAUUCUUAAACCCAUAGUUCAAUUCUAUGGCUUACUUA